GAGAGAAGAAAAGAAAGAAAAUUUGAGCGGUGGGGAACUUGGGAAAAUCCGCCCACACCAAAGAAUGGAAAAAUAUCUUUGCCUUGAGAAAACACGCAUCUUUGGAAAGAAAACCAGAGAGAAUCGGCUUGGAAGCAAAAAGAGAAAGGAAGAAAGGAAGAAAGAAAGAAAUGAGAAAGAAGAAAAAAGACAAGGAAGGUUCAGUUUAGAAAUUCCAAGCUAAGGAAGCAAAGGUCCUUCAAGAAUUGAAAGAAAUAGAUGCAUGCCUGUCGGCCAAUCUUGGAAUCCAUAGUGAUUUUGGGCUAGAUAAGCUAUAGAUAGUGAUCAGCCUAGUGUGCAAUCAUCGGCACUUAUGGUUCACCACGGAUAGGUAAAGGCAUCUCAUAGCAUUUCAUUCCGAGUCCUUCCACUGCUAGAGGUCGAGCCAUUUCGUAGCAUAAUUUGAUUAUAAAUAGUAUUAACGUAAAUGUAUGGUUGUAUAUUAAAGACCUUGAUGAACUUCUACAAUUAUGUUGAAUAAAAGUUGAGUUGAUUUAU